UACGUAGGGCGCAAGCGUUGUCCGGAAUUAUUGGGCGUAAAGAGCUCGUAGGCGGUCUGUCGCGUCGGCUGUGAAAACCCGGGGCUCAACCCCGGGCCUGCAGUCGAUACGGGCAGACUAGAGUGUGGUAGGGGAGACUGGAAUUCCUGGUGUAGCGGUGGAAUGCGCAGAUAUCAGGAGGAACACCGGUGGCGAAGGCGGGUCUCUGGGCCAUAACUGACGCUGAGGAGCGAAAGCGUGGGUAGCAAACAGG
rnacentral:rRNA from 1 species